GCCUCUGUAGUUAAAUGGAUAUAACUGUGGACUUCUAAGCCACUAUUCUAGGUUCGAUUCCUAGCGGAGGCA
rnacentral:tRNA from 1 species